UAAUAAAAACAUUUCCAAAAGUUAUUUUUGGUAAGUUCUGCCCUAUGCGUUAAGUAAAUGGCCAUUUUUAUGCUAAGGUAGCAUAACUACUUGCUUCUUAAAUAGAUGACUGUCUGAAAGAGCUAAUUGUGAGAGAUUUUUUGUUUGUUAAAAAUUGAACUUUAUAAAUUGUCAAAAUUCAAUUUUUUAAUAAAAGACGAGAAGACCCCAGAAUUUACUACUGGUAAAGUGUUUAAUGGGGCGUUAUCUUUUAAUUCAAAAGAUUUUUGAUUUGAUGAACAAAAAAUUACUCUGGGGGUAACAGGGUGAUCUAAACUAAAGUUCUUAUUAAAGUUUAGGAUUACUACCUCGAUGUUGAAUUAAGCUAAAUUUUUGGAGCAAAAAAUGAAAUUAUGGGCCUGUUCGGCCUUUAUAAGCUUACAUGAUUUGAGUU
rnacentral:rRNA from 1 species